UACGGCGGUAUCACGUUGAAACGCAGGUUCUCGUACAAUCACCGAAGUUAAGCAACGUCUAGACUAAUCAGUACCUAGAUGGGUGACCGUUUGGAAAUAUCAGGUGCUGUAA